AGCGGUCGGAAAUCGCUCGUUGAGUGCAAUGGCAGAAGCCAGCCUGACUGCAAGACUGACAAGUCGAGCAGAGUCGAAAGACGGCCAUAGUGAUCCGGUGGUCCCGAGUGGAAGGGCCAUCGCUCAACGGAUAAAAGGUACGCUGGGGAUAACAGGCUGAUGAUGCCCAAGAGUCCAUAUCGACGGCAUCGUUUGGCACCUCGAUGUCGGCUCAUCUCAUCCUGGGGCUGGAGCAGGUCCCAAGGGUACGGCUGUUCGCCGUUUAAAGAGGUACGUGAGCUGGGUUUAGAACGUCGUGAGACAGUUCGGUCCCUAUCUGCCGUGGGUGUAGGAUACUUGAGAGGAGUUGCCCCUAGUACGAGAGGACCGGGGUGAACGUUCCACUGGUGGACCAGUUGUCGUGCCAACGGCAGUGCUGGGUAGCUAUGAACGGACAGGAUAAACGCUGAAGGCAUCUAAGCGUGAAGCCCCCCUCAAAACCAGGUAUCCCUUGAGAGCCGUGGAAGACCACCACG
rnacentral:rRNA from 1 species